GGGCCGGAGGCUCGCGGCCGCGCCCUCACCUGCGGCAGGCGGAGCAGCGCCCCGUCGCGUGCCAUUGGCUCGGCCCGCGACCAGCGCGACGCCGCUUAGCCGCAAUUGGCUACAUAACCUGCCCGUCAGCAACGCGCCUAACGCCGACGCCGGAACCUGGCGCGGGUGGGUGGGGCGGGCUCGUUACCCAGGGGACUCUGCGGUGCCGGCCGACCCGGAAGCAUGUCUGUCCCUAGCGGAGGCGCGGGUGCCGUGCUGAGAGCGCCUGCCUGUGCGCCCCGAGCGGGCCUGGGACUCUUCCAAGAUGCCCACGUUCGCACAGAGACCCCGGAUCGCGGAAGCUCGCGUCUCGAAAGGCCUGUGGGUCAAGGGGGGCCAUCUCGGUGGGAUCUGGGGCGGGACGACCCCCACUGCUGAACCCUGGGCGCGGGGCAGGGUCAGAGGUUCCGCUCGGCCUCGCCCUGGAUGAGACGCGCGUGCCCGGUGUCCCCCGGCCGCCGUCGGCGUCGUGUCUUAAGUCCUUAUCGACUCCGGACUUUGGGGAUGCGUAUUAACGCCAGACUCCUGCAAAGUCUUGCCUUCAAAACUCAGCCCCUGGGGAGAGACGGGUGGAGGGAUGACUGGAAAUGUGGCCUCGACGUCCCUAUAGAGCCCCUCCAGCGUGGGGAGGCUUAAGUACCUCAAGGUUCAGGCCCACGGAAGGA
rnacentral:lncRNA from 1 species